rnacentral:lncRNA from 1 species
AUAAAACACACCUUCCGCCGUUUGUCAUUUGGCCACAAUAUAUAUAUACAAAUCUCAUACAUAUCUCACAUUAGCCAUUUGGCUUUACCACAUAUCCAUCUCAUACACAUUUCGCAUUAGCCAUUCAGCCUUACCACAUAUAUACAUGUUCACAUUCAUCACAUUGGCCAUUCGGCCUUAUCUCAUAUAUGCAUGUUCACAUUCAUCACAUUGGCCAUUCGACCUUAUCACACAUACGCAUGUUCACAUUCAUCACAUUGGCCAUUCGGCCUUAUCACACAUAUAUAUAC